rnacentral:rRNA from 1 species
CCAGUGACUAAGUUCAACGGCCGCGGUAUCCUAACCGUGCGAAGGUAGCGUAAUCACUUGUUCUUUAAAUGAGGACUAGUAUGAAUGGCACCACGAAGGUUAUGCUGUCUCCUUUUUCUAAUCAAUGAAACUGAUCUCCCCGUGAAGAAGCGGGGAUACAACUAUAAGACGAGAAGACCCUAUGGAGCUUUAAACCAUGUAACACUGGUCAUACAUUAAAAUAUUCCAGAAUUUCUCAUAAUUACUCUAGCCACCAUGAUUACUAGUUUUAGGUUGGGGUGACCACGGAGCAAAAAUUAACCUCCAUGUUAAACGGAGCUACUCCUGAGCCAUAAGCCACGACUUUAAGCACUAAUAAAUUAAUAUUAAUUGACCCAAUAUUUUUGAUCAACGAACCAAGUUACCCUAGGGAUAACAGCGCAAUCCAUUUUAAGAGCCCCUAUCGACAAAUGGGUUUACGACCUCGAUGUUGGAUCAGGGUAUCCCAGUGGUGCAGCCGCUACUAAAGGUUCGUUUGUUCAACGAUUAAAACCCUACGUGAUCUGA